GCAUUUGUUAUUUCGACGAGAGGAACUUCACGUGUGAAGCAUCAUCAGAAAAGAAAUGAAAUGACCGCCAAGAAGUUGUCAAGGAUAACCAGACGGACAACACCUUUCUAUCUACUUGCUAUUCGCCCUGUUUCGGACACGUGUAAUAAACUGUUACUGAAGAAUGAGGGAAGACGUGAGUAGAAUGACAAAUCUAUGCCGUUUACUAUUGUGAUGCAGUCUGCCAGAGAAAGAGUUGGACCAAACAUCAAAGGAUUUGCACUUAAACUGAAAUUUAACUAGAUGUUUUCUUCAUAAACAAGGAUGUAUUGAGAAAUUUCUUGUUCCUCCAAAGCGGUCCAUUUGCUUAUGCAGAACUUGUGUACCAGUACAAGUGGCCAGCACUAUAAUAUAUGGCACAUAAAACUAAAAUCACGAAUA